AACAGGAUUAGAUACCCUGGUAGUCCACGCCGUAAACGAUGUCGACUUGGAGGUUGUUCCCUUGAGGAGUGGCUUCCGGAGCUAACGCGUUAAGUCGACCGCCUGGGGAGUACGGCCGCAAGGUUAAAACUCAAAUGAAAUUGACGGGGGCCCGCACAAGCGGUGGAGCAUGUGGUUUAAUUCGAUGCAACGCGAAGAACCUUACCUACUCUUGACAUCCACGGAAUUCGGCAGAGAUGCCUUAGUGCCUUCGGGAACCGUGAGACAGGUGCUGCAUGGCUGUCGUCAGCUCGUGUUGUGAAAUGUUGGGUUAAGUCCCGCAACGAGCGCAACCCUUAUCCUUUGUUGCCAGCGAUUCGGUCGGGAACUCAAAGGAGACUGCCGGUGAUAAACCGGAGGAAGGUGGGGAUGACGUCAAGUCAUCAUGGCCCUUACGAGUAGGGCUACACACGUGCUACAAUGGCGCAUACAAAGAGAAGCGACCUCGCGAGAGCAAGCGGACCUCAUAAAGUGCGUCGUAGUCCGGAUCGGAGUCUGCAACUCGACUCCGUGAAGUCGGAAUCGCUAGUAAUCGUGGAUCAGAAUGCCACGGUGAAUACGUUCCCGGGCCUUGUACACACCGCCCGUCACACCAUGGGAGUGGGUUGCAAAAGAAGUAGGUAGCUUAACCUUCGGGAGGGCGCUUACCACUUUGUGAUUCAUGACUGGGGUGAAGUCGUAACAAGGUAACC
rnacentral:rRNA from 1 species